rnacentral:lncRNA from 1 species
GGUUUGGUUCUUUUUGUCUUGGAGCUUCUUACAUGGUUGAUGACGGCAUAUUUGAAUUGGCCUCCGUUUACUGAGAAUGAUACACUCGCGACUACCUGAGAUUGAGAGGUUGUGUUCACCUCGUCACUCUCAGCGAUGGGUUUCCUCGGUUACAGGACUGGUGUUUGCUUCUUUCUAUGGCUCGGUUGUUCCAGUUGCAGCAGUUGUGGUGGUGGAUUCGACGGAAUUUCUCUUGUGAGCCGAUGGUUGCAUGUUCUGGGAGAUGCUUCUCGAUUCCUUGGGUUGGUUCGGUUGGAUUUUGCUGUUUGGUUUCUACGGUUUGAUCUUUAGGUUGUUUUACUACAUUGGGUUGGCUGUAUUAUUAGGUUGGACUAGUCUUUCUUUGGCUCUGUCUCUGUUUUCCUCUGUUGUAAUGUUAAUUUUGAAUCUUAUUAAUGUAAUCUUUUUGCAUGGUCAAAGAAAAAAAAUAAUAAAGACGACCACCUGACUAAAAAAUCUACAUCAC